rnacentral:rRNA from 1 species
GGAAUUUUCCGCAAUGGGCGAAAGCCUGACGGAGCAACGCCGCGUGAGGGAUGAAGGCCUCUGGGCUGUAAACCUCUUUUAUCAAGGAAGAAGAUCUGACGGUACUUGAUGAAUAAGCCACGGCUAAUUCCGUGCCAGCAGCCGCGGUAAUACGGGAGUGGCAAGCGUUAUCCGGAAUUAUUGGGCGUAAAGCGUCCGCAGGCGGUCUUUUAAGUCUGUCGUCAAAGCGUGGAGCUUAACUCCAUUUCUGCGAUGGAAACUGGGAGACUAGAGUGUGGUAGGGGCAGAGGGAAUUCCCGGUGUAGCGGUGAAAUGCGUAGAUAUCGGGAAGAACACCAGUGGCGAAGGCGCUCUGCUGGGCCAUAACUGACGCUCAUGGACGAAAGCCAGGGGAGCGAAAGGGAUUAGAUACCCCUGUAGUCCUGGCCGUAAACGAUGAACACUAGGUGUCGGGGGAAUCGACCCCCUCGGUGUCGUAGCCAACGCGUUAAGUGUUCCGCCUGGGGAGUACGCACGCAAGUGUGAAACUCAAAUGAAUUGACGG